AACGAACGCUGGCGGCAUGCCUAACACAUGCAAGUCGAACGAGACCUUCGGGUCUAGUGGCGCACGGGUGCGUAACGCGUGGGAACCUGCCCUUAGGUUCGGAAUAACUCCCCGAAAGGGGUGCUAAUACCGGAUAAUGUCUUCGGACCAAAGAUUUAUCGCCUUUGGAUGGGCCCGCGUUGGAUUAGCUAGUUGGUAGGGUAAAAGCCUACCAAGGCGACGAUCCAUAGCUGGUCUGAGAGGAUGAUCAGCCACACUGGGACUGAGACACGGCCCAGACUCCUACGGGAGGCAGCAGUGGGGAAUAUUGGACAAUGGGCGAAAGCCUGAUCCGGCAAUGCCGCGUGAGUGAUGAAGGCCUUAGGGUUGUAAAGCUCUUUUACCCAGGAUGAUAAUGACAGUACCGGGAGAAUAAGCUCCGGCUAACUCCGUG
rnacentral:rRNA from 1 species